AUAUUUCACCCACAAAUUGCUGUUUUAUUUUAUUUCUUGGGAGAAUUUUUCAUGGCGCUUGGAAACACUUUCACGUUCAUCCGCCUAUCUUUUCUACUCGAUGCUCAGCUAAGACUUCACCGGUGCCAGUGUGUGACAUUCGCAAACAUAAAUUUGAGUACUCUUUUUCAAUAAGAAAGUACUUACCGUUACUACGGGAAAAUAGAAUCAACUUGCUAUUGUGCAAAUGAUUCCAAACAUUUAGCUGAUAUUCAAUCAUGGACAUAUUGCGACAAAACAUCAAGACGAGAUAAAAGAAUCGAGAUAUUUCAUAUUACAGAACCAUGCCAUAAAGGGUUUCCUGAAGCUCUUGUUCAAAAAUAUUACGUAGGUUGUGUUCCACUG